GAUGAACGCUGGCGGCGUGCUUAACACAUGCAAGUCGAACGAAGCACCUUAUUCUGAUUUCUUCGGAAUGAAAAAUUUGGUGACUGAGUGGCGGACGGGUGAGUAACGCGUGGGUAACCUGCCUCAUGCAGGGGGAUAACAGUUAGAAAUGACUGCUAAUACCGCAUAAGACCACAGCACCGCAUGGUGCAGGGGUAAAAACUCCGGUGGUAUGAGAUGGACCCGCGUCUGAUUAGGUAGUUGGUGGGGUAACGGCCUACCAAGCCGACGAUCAGGAGCCGACCUGAGAGGGUGACCGGCCACAUUGGGACUGAGACACGGCCCAAACUCCUACGGGAGGCAGCAGUGGGGAAUAUUGCACAAUGGGGGAAACCCUGAUGCAGCGACGCCGCGUGAGCGAUGAAGUAUUUCGGUAUGUAAAGCUCUAUCAGCAGGGAAGAAAAUGACGGUACCUGACUAAGAAGCACCGGCUAAAUACGUGCCAGCAGCCGCCGUAA
rnacentral:rRNA from 1 species